AGAGACAUGCUUGGCAAUACAUUCAAGAUAGGAACUUUGUACAACAUCAAUUAUGGGAUGCCUUGAAAAGUUAGAGGCUGAGGUAGAAAUCAACUCUCCAGCUUCAAAGCUUCACCAAACAUUUCAUGCAAGACCUUACCACAUGUGCAAUGCCAGUCCAAACAAGUUACAAAGCUGCAAACUACUCGAAGGCGAAUGGGGCAAAAUCGGAUCUGUUCUUCUAUGGAACUUUGUUCAUGAUGGGAAAACAUGCGUUUCAAAGGAGUUGAUCGAAGCGAUUGACUAGGAGAAUAAUUUAGUGACUUUCAAAGUGUUAGAGGGAGAUAUUUUGAAGGAUCAUAAGAGCUUCAAAAUUACUAUGCAAGGCAUUCCAAAGGGAAAGGAGAAAAGUGUGGUUCAUUGGACUUUAGAAUAUGAGAAAAAACAUGACAAAUUAAUUCCAAAUUCAUAUGAAAGCAGCGUCAUGCAACUUUGUGUUGAUGUCGCAAAAGAUCUUGGAGCUCACCUUGUGAAAAUGGAAAGUAAUCAAGAAGCACUUUUGAGUUCUGUGGCUGCUUAGGCUUUGUGACCUUUAGGGGUUGCUAUGAGGUAUCAAAUGGUGUUUUAUGUUUAAAUAAUACUCGUGAACUUGUCCGAUGGUAUCAUGAGUUGGGAGAAGGGAUGAAAAUCUACUCUUAUGCUUAAAUAAAAUAUGAUUAUUAUUGAUAUUAUC